GACGAACGCUGGCGGCGUGCCUAAUACAUGCAAGUAGAACGCUGAAGGAGGAGCUUGCUUCUCUGGAUGAGUUGCGAACGGGUGAGUAACGCGUAGGUAACCUGCCUGGUAGCGGGGGAUAACUAUUGGAAACGAUAGCUAAUACCGCAUAAUAGUAGAUGUUGCAUGACAUUUGCUUAAAAGGUGCAAUUGCAUCACUACCAGAUGGACCUGCGUUGUAUUAGCUAGUUGGUGGGGUAACGGCUCACCAAGGCGACGAUACAUAGCCGACCUGAGAGGGGGAUCGGCCACACUGGGACUGAGACACGGCCCAGACUCCUACGGGAGGCAGCAGUAGGGAAUCUUCGGCAAUGGACGGAAGUCUGACCGAGCAACGCCGCGUGAGUGAAGAAGGUUUUCGGAUCGUAAAGAUCUGUUGUAAGAGAAGAACGAGUGUGAGAGUGGAAAGUUCACACUGUGACGGUAGCUUACCAGAAAGGGACGGCUAACUACGUG
rnacentral:rRNA from 1 species